AUUGAACGCUGGCGGCAGGCUUAACACAUGCAAGUCGAGCGGGGUGAUGGUGCUUGCACUAUCACUUAGCGGCGGACGGGUGAGUAAUGCUUAGGAAUCUGCCUAUUAGUGGGGGACAACAUCUCGAAAGGGAUGCUAAUACCGCAUACGUCCUACGGGAGAAAGCAGGGGAUCACUUGUGACCUUGCGCUAAUAGAUGAGCCUACGUCGGAUUAGCUAGUUGGUGGGGUAAAGGCCUACCAAGGCGACGAUCUGUAGGGGGUCUGAGAGGAUGAUCCGCCACACUGGGACUGAGACACGGCCCAGACUCCUACGGGAGGCAGCAGUGGGGAAUAUUGGACAAUGUGGGGAACCCUGAUCCAGCCAUGCCGCGUGUGUGAAGAAGGCCUUAUGGUUGUAAAGCACUUUAAGCGAGGAGGAGGCUCUUUUGGUUAAUACCCAAGAUGAGUGGACGUUACUCGCAGAAUAAGCACCGGCUAACUCUGUGCCAGCCGCCGCCGUAA
rnacentral:rRNA from 1 species